rnacentral:rRNA from 1 species
GAUGAACGCUGGCGGCGUGCCUAAUACAUGCAAGUCGAGCGAAUGGAUUAAGAGCUUGCUCUUAUGAAGUUAGCGGCGGACGGGUGAGUAACACGUGGGUAACCUGCCCAUAAGACUGGGAUAACUCCGGGAAACCGGGGCUAAUACCGGAUAACAUUUUGAACCGCAUGGUUCGAAAUUGAAAGGCGGCUUCGGCUGUCACUUAUGGAUGGACCCGCGUCGCAUUAGCUAGUUGGUGAGGUAACGGCUCACCAAGGCAACGAUGCGUAGCCGAACGGAGAGGGUGAUCGGCCACACUGGGACUGAGGAACGGCCCAGCCUACUACGGGAGGCAGCAGUAGGGAAUCUUCCGCAAUGGACGAAAGUCUGACGGAGCAACGCCGCGUGAGUGAUGAAGGCUUUCGGGUCGUAAAACUCUGUUGUUAGGGAAGAACAAGUGCUAGUUGAAUAAGCUGGCACCUUGACGGUACCUAACCAGAAAGCCACGGCUAACUACGUGCCAGCAGCCGCGGUAA